rnacentral:rRNA from 1 species
GAUCAUGGCUCAGGACGAACGCUGGCGGCGUGCUUAACACAUGCAAGUCGAACGAGAAUCUGUGGAAAGAGGAUUCGUCCAAUUGAAGCAGAGGACAGUGGCGGACGGGUGAGUAACGCGUGAGGAACCUGCCUUUCAGAGGGGACGAACAGUUGGAACGACUGCUAAUACCGCAUGACAUAUAGAUGUCGCAUGGCAUUUAUAUCAAGAUUUAUCGCUGAAAG